rnacentral:piRNA from 1 species
UGCAUUUGUGGCCUGCCUGUUUGAAGCAA